rnacentral:lncRNA from 1 species
UUAAGACCCAUUAACAAAGAUUGCAAUUCAUCUUUGCAAUCAUCUUAUAUAUACGGAUUGCAAUGAAAGAAACUCGUCUUUUUUCCAGCAUAUGUAAUUGCUGCAACACAAGCAAACAACAAGAAGCAAAUACACACACACACACACAUAUAUAUAUAGCUAAUUCCCAUAGAUCAACCAUCUUAUUAUACGACAUAUACACACACAAGAUACAUUAGUUGAUGCCAUAUCCUUGCUUGGCAACAUAUUUGACAAGCUCAUCCAGUUCAUCCAAACUGAUGGUUCCGUCUCCGUUGCCAUCGGCAUGGUGCAAAGACCGACGAACUCGCCAACUUGGGUUCCGGGAACCGAGUUCACGGAAAGCUUUCAUCAAUUCGUCCUUACUUAGACAACCAUCACCAUUGACAUCGUGUUUUCUGAAGACAGCCUUCAAUUGCUCUUCAUUGAGGCUAAGGUUUAUGGAUUUUGGCACAUAAAGAGGCAUGUUGGCAAAGGGGGACAACUUAAAGGGUUUAGAACUACUUGAAUUUGCUACGUGAUCAAAAUAUGUUACUAGAGGCAUGAAUUUAUAUAGAAAUUUCUUGACCAUAGUUCACCACUUUUUCCUAUGUUUUAUUCUUAAUUUCUCUCCUCUCUUUUUUUAUGGACCCUUUUUAUUCUUAUUCUCUUCCUUUUGUAACUGUUUAUUAUAGGGGAUCAUGCAUAUAUAUAUAUAUAUAUUACUCCAAUAUAACAUACUAAUCUUACUAAUAUAAUUGUGCGAAUUUUUCAGUGUUGUUAAAAUUUUUGUUUUCUUUUAACGAAUUGUUGACGUGGUACAUUUGCUCAUUAAGCAACUGUCAUGUGACAUUCUUUUUGUUGACUUUUGACUAAAGUUUAAGGAAAAAAAUUUUGGACUAACUAUAAGGAGGUCCCUAAAUUUUAGUCAAAAGUCAACAAAAAUGUCAUGUGUUAAUUACUCAAUGUGCCAUGUCAGCAAUCCGUUAAAAGAAAACAAAAGUUUUAACGACAGUGACUAAUUUACACAACUAUCUUAUUUAGAGCAAUAAAUUAAAAAAAAUUGAAGUAACCAAAAUAAGAUAAACUCUAUUUUAGAAUAAUUAAUUUACUCUAAUUUUAUUCUUACAUACCAGGAUAUAUAUAUAAUUUUUGGGUAGGGGCAGAAAUAGAUAUUUCUAGACUUUGAAGGUUAUUAUUAUUAUGGCUUCACGUUUUUAAUAGUACUUAGAUGUGUUAAUGAGUUAGAUUGGAUCAGAUUGUGGCUUGAUUUUAAAAUAAAAUUAUUCAGACUCAAGUCCAAGCCUGGCCCUCCCAAGUUUGCACAAAGGUUGCUUUUACUAUUUAAAAUAUAAAACAAUAUUUAUUUAAAUUAAUCUAAUUGUCAAAAAUAUAGAUAUUAAAGUCGACUUAAUUGUGAAAUUUAGAGGUAAAAAAUUAUAUUAUCCUUAGCUUAUAAUUUAUCCUGAUUUUUGCAAGAAAAUAAAUUUUAAAUUAAGUUGGAUUUUCAUUUUUUUAAAAAGAAAUUUGUUAACAUAUUUAUUUAACGUUAAUAUGUUACAUCACAUGAGGGUAGCCUAAUCAACAUCUCAAAUUCACAAAUUUUGACAAAAAAAGUUCUUAUGAUUUUAAUGAUUGAAUUGAGAUUUUUAAAUAAAAAAGUAGGACUUAAUUUUUAACUUUUUAAGUACAACGAUUUAAUCUCAAAUUUUAUCAAAAUACAAGGAUUAAUUAACAUAAUACCUUAACAAAAAAAAUCAAAAUUCUAACUAAACUUGGUUUAUUCAUUCAAUCAUGUUCAAAAUAUUUGUCCAAGCAAUCAUUUUAUUUUAUUAAUUAUAACCAUAGAUGUUCUCAUCUAUUUUAUGGUUUGAGUUUAAUCUUGUUCAGUCUGGAAGUGGUAUUCAAGUAAAGUCCUUCUAACAUUGAUGAUUCUAAUUUAUAAUAUUUGAUCUUAAUCCAAAUACUCGAGAAAGAAGCUCGCUGUCACUCUUUCCAACUACUUGUUGAUUCAAGCAAUCAUUUUAAAGUUUAAAAUAAGAGUUUAAGGAAAAAAAAAGAAAGGAAAUAAAUAAUGAAAGGAGACAAGUUAAGACCCAUCAACAAAGAUUGAAAUUCAUCAUUGCAAUCAUCUUAUAUAUACGGAUUGCAAUGAAAGAAACUUGUCUUUUUUCCAGCAUAUGUAAUUGCUGCAACACAAGCAAUCAACAAGAAGCAAAUACACACACACACAUAUAUAUAUAGCUAAUUCCCAUAGAUCAACCAUCUUAUUAUACGACAUAUACACGCACAAGAUACAUUAGUUGAUGCCAUAUCCUUGCUUGGCAACAUAUUUGACAAGCUCAUCCAGUUCAUCUAAACUGAUGGUUCCGUUCCCAUCGCCAUCGGCAUGGUGCAAAGAACGACGAACUCGCC